CCUACGGGGGGCAGCAGUGAGGAAUAUUGGUCAAUGGACGAGAGUCUGAACCAGCCAAGUAGCGUGAAGGAUGACUGCACUAUGGGUUGUAAACUUCUUUUAUAUGGGAAUAAAAUGUUCCACGUGUGGGAUUUUGUAUGUACCAUAUGAAUAAGGAUCGGCUAACUCCGUGCCAGCAGCCGCGGUAAUACGGAGGAUCCGAGCGUUAUCCGGAUUUAUUGGGUUUAAAGGGAGCGUAGGUUGAUUGUUAAGUCAGUUGUGAAAGUUUGCGGCUCAACCGUAAAAUUGCAGUUGAAACUGGCAGUCUUGAGUACAGUAGAGGUGGGCGGAAUUCGUGGUGUAGCGGUGAAAUGCUUAGAUAUCACGAAGAACUCCGAUUGCGAAGGCAGUUCACUGGACUGCAACUGACACUGAGGCUCGAAAGUGUGGGUAUCAAACAGGAUUAGAUACCCGAGUAGUC
rnacentral:rRNA from 1 species